ACAUAUACCGGAAACUUCCAGAGAUGGUUGCCCCUUUUAGGUCGGUAUACAGGUGGUGCAUGGUUGUCGUCAGCUCGUGUCGUGAGAUGUUGGGUUAAGUCCCGCAACGAGCGCAACCCUCGUUCUAUGUUGCCAGCACGUAAUGGUGGGGACUCAUGGAAGACUGCCGGGGUCAACUCGGAGGAAGGUGGGGAUGACGUCAAAUCAUCAUGCCCCUUAUGUCUUGGGCUUCACGCAUGCUACAAUGGCCGGUACAAAGGGCUGCGAUACCGCAAGGUGGAGCGAAUCCCAAAAAACCGGUCUCAGUUCGGAUUGGGGUCUGCAACUCGACCCCAUGAAGUCGGAGUCGCUAGUAAUCGCAGAUCAGCAACGCUGCGGUGAAUACGUUCCCGGGCCUU
rnacentral:rRNA from 1 species